CCUACGGGAGGCAGCAGUGGGGAAUAUUGCACAAUGGGCGAAACCCUGAUCCAGCGACGCCGCGUGAGUGAAGAAGUAAUUCGUUAUGUAAAGCUCUAUCAGCAGGGAAGAAAAUGACGGUACCUGAGUCAGAAGCCCCGGCUAACUACGUGCCAGCAGCCGCGGUAAGACGUAGGGGGCAAGCGUUAUCCGGAUUUACUGGGUGUAAAGGGAGCGUAGACGGCAGUGCAGGUCUGGAGUGAAAGGCCGGGGCUCAACCCCCGGACUGCUCUGGAAACUGUACGGCUGGAGUGCAGGAGAGGUAAGUGGAAUUCGUGGUGUAGCGGUGAAAUGCAUAGAUAUCAGGCGGAACACCAGUGGCGAAGGCGGCUUACUGGACUGAAACUGACGCUGAGGCUCGAAAGCGUGGGUAUCGAACAGGAUUAGAUACCCUAGUAGUC
rnacentral:rRNA from 1 species